rnacentral:rRNA from 1 species
CACGUAGGGCGCAAGCGUUGUCCGGAUUUAUUGGGCGUAAAGAGCGUGUAGGCGGUUAGGUAGGUCCGUUGUGAAAACUCGAGGCUCAACCUCGAGACGCCGAUGGAAACCAUCUGACUAGAGUCCGGAAGAGGAGAGUGGAAUUCCGGGUGUAGCGGUGGAAUGCGUAGAGAUCGGAAAGAACACCAACGGCGAAAGCACUCUGCUGGGCCGACACUGACACUGAGAGACGAAAGCUAGGGGAGCGAAUGGG